GAGGGUACAGCUCAGUGGUAGAGCGUGUGCUUAGCAUGCACGAGGUCCUGGGUUCAACCCCCAGUACCUCCU
rnacentral:tRNA from 1 species